GUGUCAGCAGCCGCGGUAAGACAGAGGCCUCAAGCGUUAGGCGGAAUCACUGGGCUUAAAGCGUGUGUAGGCGGAUCGUUAAGUGCCUUGUGAAAUCCCACGGCUCAACCGUGGAACUGCUUGGCAUACUGGCGGUCUUGAGCCAUCUAGGGGUCGCUGGAACAAACGGUGGAGCGGUGAAAUGCGUAGAUAUCGUUUGGAACGCCUAUGGUGAAAACAGGCGACUGGGGAUGUGCUGACGCUGAGACACGAAAGCCAGGGGAGCAAACGGGAUUAGAUACCCCUGUAGUCC
rnacentral:rRNA from 1 species